UGGCUCUGGCAUCGAUGAAGAACGCAGCGAAAUGCGAUAAGUAAUGUGAAUUGCAGAAUUCAGUGAAUCAUCGAAUCUUUGAACGCACAUUGCGCCCCUUGGUAUUCCGAGGGGCAUGCCUGUUCGAGCGUCAUUAAAACAACUCAAGCUUGGCUUGGUCUUGGGGUCCGCGGUCUCGCGGCCCUUAAAAUCAGUGGCGGUGCCGUCUGGCUCUAAGCGUAGUAAUGCUCUCGCUAUAGGGUCUUGCGGUGGCUGCCAGAACCCCCCACUUCUAAGUUUGACCUCGGAUCAGGUAGGGAUACCCGCUGA
rnacentral:misc_RNA from 1 species